GACGAACGCUGGCGGCGUGCCUAAUACAUGCAAGUAGAACGCUGAAGGAGGAGCUUGCUUCUCUGGAUGAGUUGCGAACGGGUGAGUAACGCGUAGGUAACCUGCCUGGUAGCGGGGGAUAACUAUUGGAAACGAUAGCUAAUACCGCAUAAUAGUAGAUGUCGCAUGACAUUUGCUUAAAAGGUGCAAUUGCAUCACUACCAGAUGGACCUGCGUUGUAUUAGCUAGUUGGUGAGGUAACGGCUCACCAAGGCAACGAUACAUAGCCGACCUGAGAGGGUGAUCGGCCACACUGGGACUGAGACACGGCCCAGACUCCUACGGGAGGCAGCAGUAGGGAAUCUUCGGCAAUGGACGGAAGUCUGACCGAGCAACGCCGCGUGAGUGAAGAAGGUUUUCGGAUCGUAAAGCUCUGUUGUAAGAGAAGAACGAGUGUGAGAGUGGAAAGUUCACACUGUGACGGUAUCUGACCAGAAAGGGACGGCUAACUACGUG
rnacentral:rRNA from 1 species